UACGUAGGGUGCAAGCGUUAAUCGGAAUUACUGGGCGUAAAGCGUGCGCAGGCGGUUCUAUAAGACAGAUGUGAAAUCCCCGGGCUCAACCUGGGAACUGCGUUUGAAACUACAGGGCUAGAGUAUGGGAGAGGGAGGUAGAAUUCCACGUGUAGCAGUGAAAUGCGUAGAGAUGUGGAGGAAUACCAAUGGCGAAGGCAGCCUCCUGGCCUAAUACUGACGCUCAUGCACGAAAGCGUGGGGAGCAAACAGG
rnacentral:rRNA from 1 species